UGGCAUGUGGGAAAGCUAGUG
rnacentral:misc_RNA from 1 species